AGCGCAGGCGGGCGAUCAAGUUGGAAGUGAAAUCCAUGGGCUCAACCCACGAACUGCUUUCAAGACUGAUUGUCUUGAGUAGUGCAGAGGUAGGCGGAAUUCCCGGUGUAGCGGUGGAAUGCGUAGAUAUCGGGAGGAACACCAGUGGCAAAGGCGGCCUACUGGGCACCAACUGACGCUGAGGCUCGAAAGUGUGGUAGCAAACA
rnacentral:rRNA from 1 species